AGAUUGAACGCUGGCGGCAUGCCUUACACAUGCAAGUCGAACGGUAGAGUAGCAAUACUUGAGAGUGGCGAACGGGUGAGUAAUAUAUCGGAACGUGCCCAGUCGUGGGGGAUAACGUAGAGAAAUUUACGCUAAUACCGCAUACGAUCUAAGGAUGAAAGCGGGGGACUCGCAAGAGCCUCGCGCGAUUGGAGCGGCUGAUAUCAGAUUAGGUUGUUGGUGAGGUAAAAGCUCACCAAGCCGACGAUCUGUAGCUGGUUUGAGAGAACGACCAGCCACACUGGGACUGAGACACGGCCCAGACUCCUACGGGAGGCAGCAGUGGGGAAUUUUGGACAAUGGGCGAAAGCCUGAUCCAGCAAUGCCGCGUGCAGGAAGAAGGCCUGGUUG
rnacentral:rRNA from 1 species